UCUGCAAAGGCACUUCUGUUGUGUGUUUUUUUUUUUCGCAAAGAUUACCUUCAAGAACGAGAGAGCCCAUUUAAUUUUGAAUUUAAUGACUUUCCACUAUCCCUAAUUCUACCAUUUCCAAGUACAUUAGCUGCAUGAUCUCCAGAUUGCUGGAAAGAUGCCGUCAGGUACCAGACUGAAUGUCAGAUAUAAAAGCUUAAUAAGUGACACGCUUUACAUUUUUGGUGCAAUCGAAUAUAAAAGCUUCCACUCAGUUAAAAUUACCAGAGGUAUUACCGGAGAGAGGUGAAGCCUGACAUUGUGCUGAGGAGGUAUUCCUUGGGCAGCACGCUGCUGGAGAUGGUCCCUGCUUCAGACUGGGGCAGGUUUGAGGCUGACACUGUCCAGGGCCAUGUGCCUUCAUCUGCUGGAUUCUGUUAAUGCACCUUCUUUUCCCAUACAACCAUCUGUGCCCCAUCCGUCAGACCAUGGGGAAGGAGGGCUGAGCCCCUCUGCACCUUCAGGACCAAAGGGAAAGGAAGAUGCCUGUGCUUUCAGCUCCACCCGAGCAUGGCUGGCAGAGUCAGGAAUUGGAAAAGUUAUUCGUGCUCAGCUGCGGAUAACAGGAAAAUGCCAUUUCCAUGUUAACAGGCUGCAGGUGAACCUGUACUGCUUGCUCAGCCCUGACAAAAUGGGUGCUUAACCCCAGUACGUGCAUGAUGGCUUUGCUGGGUUGGGCCCUUAUCUGGAUUGCCUUUUAAACUGGAAGAUGAGCUGCUCCAAGCCCUUCCACUGGCAUGCAGAAAGGCUUUUCUUUUGAACCGACCUGGCUUUUGAGAACAUGCAAAUCUUUUAAAGUCUACGGCUGAGCCGUGCAGGCUGCGCCAGGGCCCUUCUGAUCCCCAAAUUCAUUUCAAAAGCAAUAAUAGAUGUUUCAGCAUAUCUGAAUAUUUUUCACACUGUUUGUGAUUUGCAGCUUUCCUGACUCAGCUUGGUUGUUGUUAAAGGUUUCAGCAGCGAUGUGUCCCAAAAUCUUGUAUUCCAGCUCAGUUGUGACAGAGAUGUAUUGCUCUAGUCAGCAAAGUAUUUGCUUAAGAUCUAAUAAAGCAUCCACACAUCUCA